GCCUGCCAGGCCUCUCACCUCUCUCCAGGCCUCUCACCUCUCUCCAUGCCUCUCACCUCCCUCCAGGCCUUCACACUCGCCUGCCAGGUCUCUCACCUCUCUCCAGGCCUCUCGCCUCUCUCCAGGCCUUCACACUCGCCUGCCAGGCCUCUCACCUCUCUCCAGGCCUCUCACCUCCCUCCAGGCCUUCACACUCGCCUGCCAGGCCUCUUGCCUCUCUCCAGGCCUCUCACCUCCAGUCUAACCACACUGUUUCCGCGAGGCCACAUCUG
rnacentral:lncRNA from 1 species